rnacentral:tRNA from 1 species
AGCUCCGUGGUGAAGAAACAUGUUGGAUUGCAAAUCCAGAGACGUAGAUCAAUAGUCUGCCGGGGCUU